UUCCCGCUUCACCUCCCUGAGCGGGAGCCUGCAAGGGCAUUCGCCCCGGUUGAUAACAGCCGGGGUUUUUUCU
rnacentral:ncRNA from 1 species